rnacentral:rRNA from 1 species
UAGAGUUUGAUCAUGGCUCAGGAUGAACGCUAGCGACAGGCCUAACACAUGCAAGUCGAGGGGCAUCGGGGCGAGGAGCAAUCCUUGCCGCCGGCGACCGGCGCACGGGUGAGUAACGCGUAUGCGACCUGCCCGUUGCAGGGGGAUAAUCGGGAGAAAUCCCGUCUAAUACCGCGUAAUGCCGCGGGGCUGCAUGGCCCUGCGGCCAAAGGGAGCGAUUCCGGCAACGGAUGGGCAUGCGUGACAUUAGCUAGUUGGCGGGGCAACGGCCCACCAAGGCGACGAUGUCUAGGGGUUCUGAGAGGAAGGUCCCCCACACUGGUACUGAGACACGGACCAGACUCCUACGGGAGGCAGCAGUGAGGAAUAUUGGUCAAUGGGCGCGAGCCUGAACCAGCCAAGUCGCGUGAGGGAUGACGGCCCUACGGGUUGUAAACCUCUUUUGUCGGGGAGCAAAUUCCGCCACGUGUGGCGGAGUCGAGAGUACCCGAAGAAAAAGCAUCGGCUAACUCCGUGCCAGCAGCCGCGGUAAUACGGAGGAUGCGAGCGUUAUCCGGAUUUAUUGGGUUUAAAGGGUGCGUAGGCGGACUGUCAAGUCAGCGGUAAAAUACGGGGGCUCAACCUCCGCCCGCCGUUGAAACUGACGGUCUUGAGUGGGCGAGAAGUAUGCGGAAUGCGUGGUGUAGCGGUGAAAUGCAUAGAUAUCACGCAGAACUCCGAUUGCGAAGGCAGCAUACCGGCGCCCAACUGACGCUGAAGCACGAAAGCGUGGGUAUCGAACAGGAUUAGAUACCCUGGUAGUCCACGCAGUAAACGAUGAAUACUAGCUGUCCGGGGCGAAUGAGCCCUGGGUGGCACAGCGAAAGCGUUAAGUAUUCCACCUGGGGAGUACGCCGGCAACGGUGAAACUCAAAGGAAUUGACGGGGGCCCGCACAAGCGGAGGAACAUGUGGUUUAAUUCGAUGAUACGCGAGGAACCUUACCCGGGCUCAAACGACACAGGAACGUACCUGAAAGGGUUCGGCUCUACGGAGCCUGUGUCGAGGUGCUGCAUGGUUGUCGUCAGCUCGUGCCGUGAGGUGUCGGCUUAAGUGCCAUAACGAGCGCAACCCCCAUCGACAGUUGCUAACAGGUCAGGCUGAGGACUCUGUCGAGACUGCCGGCGCAAGCUGCGAGGAAGGCGGGGAUGACGUCAAAUCAGCACGGCCCUUACGUCCGGGGCGACACACGUGUUACAAUGGCAGGUACAGCGGGAAGCCACCUGGCGACAGGGAGCGGAACCCGAAAGCCUGUCUCAGUUCGGAUUGGAGUCUGCAACCCGACUCCAUGAAGCUGGAUUCGCUAGUAAUCGCGCAUCAGCCACGGCGCGGUGAAUACGUUCCCGGGCCUUGUACACACCGCCCGUCAAGCCAUGGAAGCCGGGGGUGCCUGAAGUGCGCUGCCGCGAGGAGCGCCCUAGGGUAAAACCGGUGACUGGGGCUAAGUCGUAACAAGGUAACCGUAA